GAUGAACGCUGGCGGCGUGCCUAAUACAUGCAAGUCGAGCGAACAGACGAGGCGCUUGCUCCUCUGACGUUAGGGGCGGACGUGUGAGUAACACGUGGAUAACCUACCUAUAAGACUGGGAUAACUUCGGGAAACCGGAGCUAAUACCGUAUAAUAUAUUGAACCGCAUGGUUCGAUGGUGAAAGACGGUGUUGGUGUAACUUAUCGCGGGAUCCGCGCCGCAUUAGGUAGUUGGUAAGGUAACGGCUUACCAAGGCAAGGAUGCGUAGGCGACCGGAGAGAGUGGUAGGCCACAUUGGAGCUGAGACACGGACCAGACUCCUAAGGGAGGCAGCAGUAGGGAAUGGUCCGCAAUGGGCGAGAGCAUGACGGAGCGACGCCGCGUGAGUGAUGACGGUCUUCGGAGCGUAAAACUCUGUUAUUGGUGAAGAACAAAUGUGUAAGUAAAUAUGCACGUCUUGACGGUACCUAAUCAGAAAGCCACGGCUAACUACGUG
rnacentral:rRNA from 1 species